CGAAACUAGAAACUAUAAUUCAGAAGUUGAAAAAAUGUUACAAAUUAUAAUCCUUGCAACUGUUUUGCUAUUUAAUGCACAUUCAGGAAAUUGCAAACCGACAACUAUAAAAACUAUACAAUUUAAUUAUACCUUGCCAAACAACGAUGUUAUAAAAAUAGACCUCACAUUCGAGUUUCUCAAUAAGGAAUCAAAAACGGAUGUUGAACUGUUUGAUUUGACAACGAUGUCUUCCCCAACAACAACAACAACAACAACAUUAUCGUCAACGACAGCAAAAACAACUACAACUACAUCAACGAUACUGGAAACGAGGUCAAAAAAGAGCGGAGAGCCAUCGCCACCACCACAACAACCGACAACAGAAAGCUCAAUAGAAGAAAUUUACAGUGACAGUUAUGAGCAAUUUACUAGAGAGGAUGCGGUGAAAUCUUUUCAGGAGGCCUUAAUAGAAAAAGAACAAUAUAUCGGAGGAAUAAUAAACGCUACUACCCCAUUUUAUAGACAUUUUAACCUUAAAUAUAAAGAUACGGCUAUCUCAAUUCGUUGCUUAUAUGAAAGUAAUUAUGAAAAGAAGAUUCUAACAUUACAUUGCACUCAAUUUUAUGAAACAAAAAUAAUUGAACGGAUAUUAGACAACGGGGAAAUCGAACAAGUAGAAGUUAGAAAAAACCCCGAUAGCUUGGAAAAUGUCAUCAUUAAUGAUGACAUUAAUAACUACACUCAAAUGUUACAUAUGAAAAUCAAUUGAGCAAUGUGGAGCUCAAUAAAUAAUUGACACUUUAAUUUUUGUAAUCAUAUUUUAUGUACUCCUAUAUUUCAAAUAUAUUUUAUGUACUCCUAUAUUUCAAAUAUAUUUUAUGUACUCCUAUAUUUCAAAUACAAAUUAUGUACUCCUAUAUUUCAAAUAAAAAUUAUAAUCGCACAUAUUGUAUGUAAAAAAACAACUAUAUGUAUGUUCACUAUAUUUCAAAUAAAAAAUAAAUAAAAUGAUGAGCGCACAUA